rnacentral:rRNA from 1 species
GACGAACGCUGGCGGCGUGCUUAACACAUGCAAGUCGAACGGAAAGGCCCUGCUUUUGUGGGGUGCUCGAGUGGCGAACGGGUGAGUAACACGUGAGUAACCUGCCCUUUACUUUGGGAUAACUUCAGGAAACUGGGGCUAAUACCGGAUAGGAGCUCCUGCUGCAUGGUGGGGGUUGGAAAGUUUCGGCGGUUGGGGAUGGACUCGCGGCUUAUCAGCUUGUUGGUGGGGUAGUGGCUUACCAAGGCUUUGACGGGUAGCCGGCCUGAGAGGGUGACCGGCAAAAUGGGGAAGGAGAAAAGGCCAAGACUACUAGGGGAGGAAGAAGUGGGGAAUAUGGAACAAGGGGAGGAAGCACGAAGAAGAAAAGCCGAGGGCGGGAUCACGGAAUCCGGGAUGUAAACCGCUUUCGCCUGAGACGAAGCGAGAGAGACGGUAAUGGGUAAAGAAGAAACGGAUAACUAUGUG